GACGAACGCUGGCGGCGUGCCUAAUACAUGCAAGUAGAACGCUGAAGGAGGAGCUUGCUUCUCUGGAUGAGUUGCGAACGGGUGAGUAACGCGUAGGUAACCUGCCUGGUAGCGGGGGAUAACUAUUGGAAACGAUAGCUAAUACCGCAUAAUAGUAGAUGUUGCAUGACAUUUGCUUAAAAGGUGCAAUUGCAUCACUACCAGAUGGACCUGCGUUGUAUUAGCUAGUUGGUGGGGUAACGGCUCACCAAGGCGACGAUACAUAGCCGACCUGAGAGGGUGAUCGGCCACACUGGGACUGAGACACGGCCCAGACUCCUACGGGAGGCAGCAGGAGGGAAUCUUCGGCAAUGGACGGAAGUCUGACCGAGCAACGCCGCGGGAGUGAAGAAGGUUUUCGGAUCGUAAAGCUCUGUUGUAAGAGAAGAACGAGUGUGAGAGUGGAAAGUUCACACUGUGACGGUAUCUUACCAGAAAGGGACGGCUAACUACGUG
rnacentral:rRNA from 1 species